rnacentral:rRNA from 1 species
AGACAUACAGGUCGAGCAAGGAUGAAAAUCGGACUUAGUGAUCCGGUGGUUCUGCGUGGAAGGGCCAUCGCUCAACGGAUAAAAGCUACCCUGGGGAUAACAGGCUUAUCUCCCCCAAGAGUCCACAUCGACGGGGAGGUUUGGCACCUCGAUGUCGGCUCAUCACAUCCUGGGGCUGUAGUAGGUCCCAAGGGUUGGGCUGUUCGCCCAUUAAAGUGGUACGCGAGCUGGGUUCAGAACGUCGUGAGACAGUUCGGUCCCUAUCCGUCGCAGGCGUAGGAAAUUUGAGAAGACCUGUCCUUAGUACGAGAGGACCGGGAUGGACGUACCUCUGGUGUACCAGUUGUUCUGCCAAGGGCAUGGCUGGGUAGCUAUGUACGGAAUGGAUAAGCGCUGAAAGCAUCUAAGCGCGAAGCCAACUUCAAGAUAAGAUUUCCCACCGCAAGGGUAAGACCCCAGAAAGACUAUCUGGUUGAUAGGUCGAAGGUGUAAGUGCAGCAAUGUAUUUAGCUUAUCGAUACUAAUAGGUCGAGGACUUGACCAAU